rnacentral:rRNA from 1 species
AUAGCUGGUUCUCCGCGAAAUCUAUUUAGGUAGAGCGUCGUGUAUUACCUACGGGGGUAGAGCACUGGAUGGGCUAGGGGGCCUCACCGGCUUACCAAACCUAACCAAACUCCGAAUACCGAGGAGUACUAUCUGGCAGACACACGGCGGGUGCUAACGUCCGUCGUGGAGAGGGAAACAACCCUGACCUACAGCUAAGGCCCCUAAUUCAUGGCUAAGUGGGAAAGCAGGUGGGACGACCAAAACAACCAGGAUGUUGGCUUAGAAGCAGCCAUC